AUAGUAUUGGCAAUGGUAGAAAAACGAAUUUGCAAUAAGAUUUGAAGGGGUUUUACUUCAUGCAAACAACAGGAUAGAUGUUUAUCCGUUCCUAUUGAGACAAAAUUUAUGAGAAAAAAUAUGGUGCUAGCGUCUAACUAGUAUCAUGAACGAAAUGGAACAUAAUAUUUACUUGAUUGUGAAGAUUGCUUAUUAAAUGCUACAUUCUUUUUUAUAACGAUGUAUUUCACAUUUUGCAUAAUUAAUGCACCUUCAAUCAUAAUUAAAAGAAAGCAACAAGUAUUUGAGUUGGGAUAAAAAUGUAAAACUUAAUCUAUUAAAUGUUCACAUAAUAAAAUAUGAAGAUGACUACAAAAUAGAACGUAACAAAUAAUAAAGGAUAGAAGGAAACAAAAGCAAAACACCCACAGUUUGCUUUAAUUCCUGGGUAAACUAGAAAACACGGAGCGAAGCCUUUGAGAGACAAAAUAACUAUAACGAAAGGGGAACAUAAUACAUAAUAAGUUAUCUUCUAUUGUGGAUAAUAGGAGACAAAUUUUUUGAUUGGAGCAAGCUUAUCAAGCUUCGAACGUCUCGCCGAACACAGUAUCUGCGACGGGAUCGUUAGCAUCCACCGUACGUGGAUUCCCAUGUGAAUUUAUUGAAUUAACCGAUGAAUGGGUUGUUGUGCGACACGCAUGUAAAUUAUCUGUCUCUUCGUUUUCUUGUAGUCCCAGGUUCUGAAACUGUUCAUCAAUGGACUUAUUGACACUAUAAAGUUUAAGGUUAGUUGAUGGUCAAAUAUUUAAAAAUAAACUUACAAAGUGAAACCACGAAAUCUGUCCUGAAUCGUGUUGGAUAGAGGUGUCGAGGCAUUAGCGGGAUCAACAUUGGAAACUAUAUUGAUAUUUUUCACAUUAGUAUUGGUAAACUCUUUAUCAAAAUUGGAAACAUCCAGAUCAUUUUGAACAUUCGGUUUAAAAGGCGGCUGAACCUUCUUCUUGCUAAGUAGGUCCCAAUUUAUGUCUGCAAAAAAAGGAUGCUCUUUUAAUUCAGUAGUGUCAGCAACUGCUCCUAAACGAUGAUUUGGAUUGCGAUUUAAAAGGCCUCGAACAAAGCUUCGACCCUCUGAUGAAAGAACUCCUUUUGGAAAACGGACCUUUCCAAAGGCAAUAUUACGAUACAUUUGUUGGACGUCUGGAGCAUAAAAGGGGCUCCAUCCGCAGCACAUCUCAAAGACAAGGACUCCUAAAGACCAGAAAUCGACCUGUUUAGUAUACCCCUUGUCCUCAAGUAAAACUUCAGGUGCCAAAUAUUCGGUGGUUCCACAAAAGGUAUUAGUAGUUGCGUUAGCUGAAAGGUUUGCCUUAGACAAACCAAAAUCGCAAAGAGCAAUAUGACCAUCUGCAUCUAAUAGUAUGUUUUCAGGCUUUAAAUCUCGGUAA